GCCAGAGCACUUUUAAACUAACUCACCUAAAUGGAACGCAGCCAUAAUUAAGGGUAACAAUCCCACCUGUGCUUUUCCCAAUGGCUUUUCCUGCUUGAACAAGUCAAGCCAUGAAAAUUGUCUACUAAUGAGAGUAGUGAAGCCGCCAAAAUCGAGUUAGCUAGCUAACUGACAUAGAAAUAUACUUUUACAUGUUUUGUUCGUGACCGAAAACGUUUCAACUAGCACUGUAGCACCCGGGAAAACGGACGCGUGGCGAGUGAGGAAAAUUAGCAGUUUAAAAAACAGCCUGAACUGCUAGCAUACGUUAAUUCAGUUUCAGUCGAGCUAGCUAAUGCCUCGGCAGCUAGCUAGCGUUGGUCGGCUUGUCUCCCCCCCCCCCUUGUUUCUGCUGCUCCGUGGGAAGCAUUGUACUAACAAUACAAACCAAGUUAGUGACAAAUAUUUAGUUAGUCCGUUUGCACUGAAGUGUAGCUAUGUGCAUAGCGUAAGGAUGGAUAACUAGCUGAAAUAACCGUCAGCUAGCUAGUGUUGUGGCAGAAAUGCUGCUGCUAGUGUUUUCACUGGACACGUUCAGUUCCUUCUAUGACAUUCAUUGUGUUUGACAACUCGUAAAAACAUGUUCCCUGAACAUCCGCAAGCCAUGCUUUACACACCGAAGGACCAGUUGGGUGCAUAACGGGAGUCCAGCUGACCUUUUGAGAGAAGCAUUACCUGCAAAUGAUUUAACGGUCAAUGACAGCUGGAGGGAUGUAAUCCUGAGAUGGUUCAACGCCUACACUCGCUCUCCUCAGCGGUCGCAAUGAGUUGCUGUUGUAUUUCUCUUCUCUCCCGCCACAAAAGGUGGCACAACUUGGACUGGAACAGAUCCAGACUUGCAGCUCUACAGAACAAAGUCCUAAAUGAGAAUUUCCCCACACUUGUUACCAGGACAACCUGCUCCUUCAGUGCACCCUUAAAGUAAAUAGAUGGGAAGACGGUCGGAAAGGAGGAAGGGAUCUAGUCUUUGAGAUCUCCUGGGGAGCCUCGGAGAGACGGAGGGAACAGAUGUUCAGGAGGAGCCCUUCUAUUCUCGGCCUGUUUCUGGAGAUCUGACUGACCACUGAUAAGGUGUACUUGGACACACCAGACUCUCCUCACAGUAUGAGAAACCAUCAAGAGGAAGUUAUUGCUCAUUGUCACACUUCUCAACUGCUCAGUAAGUAUAAAUAUCAACAGCUGCUGU